rnacentral:rRNA from 1 species
GACGUAGGGCGCAAGCGUUGUCCGGAUUUAUUGGGCGUAAAGAGCUUGUAGGCGGUUUGUCGCGUCUGCUGUGAAAAUCCGGGGCUCAACCCCGGACUUGCAGUGGGUACGGGCAGACUGGAGUGUGGUAGGGGAGACUGGAAUUCCUGGUGUAGCGGUGGAAUGCGCAGAUAUCAGGAGGAACACCGAUGGCGAAGGCAGGUCUCUGGGCCACUACUGACGCUGAGAAGCGAAAGCAUGGGGAGCGAACAGG